GGGAUUAGUGGCGAACGGGUGAGUAACACGUGGGCAAUCUGCCCUUCACUCUGGGACAAGCCCUGGAAACGGGGUCUAAUACCGGAUACUGACCCUCGCAGGCAUCUGCGAGGUUCGAAAGCUCCGGCGGUGAAGGAUGAGCCCGCGGCCUAUCAGCUUGUUGGUGAGGUAAUGGCUCACCAAGGCGACGACGGGUAGCCGGCCUGAGAGGGCGACCGGCCACACUGGGACUGAGACACGGCCCAGACUCCUACGGGAGGCAGCAGUGGGGAAUAUUGCACAAUGGGCGAAAGCCUGAUGCAGCGACGCCGCGUGAGGGAUGACGGCCUUCGGGUUGUAAACCUCUUUCAGCAGGGAAGAAGCGAAAGUGACGGUACCUGCAGAAGAAGCGCCGGCUAACUACGUGCCAGCAGCCGCGGUAAUACGUAGGGCGCAAGCGUUGUCCGGAAUUAUUGGGCGUAAAGAGCUCGUAGGCGGCUUGUCACGUCGGUUGUGAAAGCCCGGGGCUUAACCCCGGGUCUGCAGUCGAUACGGGCAGGCUAGAGUUCGGUAGGGGAGAUCGGAAUUCCUGGUGUAGCGGUGAAAUGCGCAGAUAUCAGGAGGAACACCGGUGGCGAAGGCGGAUCUCUGGGCCGAUACUGACGCUGAGGAGCGAAAGCGUGGGGAGCGAACAGGAUUAGAUACCCUGGUAGUCCACGCCGUAAACGGUGGGCACUAGGUGUGGGCACAUUCCACGUUGUCCGUGCCGCAGCUAACGCAUUAAGUGCCCCGCCUGGGGAGUACGGCCGCAAGGCUAAACUCAAAGGAAUUGACGGGGGCCCGCCAAGCGGCGGAGCUGGGGGUUAAUUC
rnacentral:rRNA from 1 species